AACGAACGCUGGCGGCAGGCUUAACACAUGCAAGUCGAAACGCCCCGGCAAGGGGGAGUUGGCAGACGGGUGAGUAACGCGUGGGAAUCUACCCAACCCUGCGGAAUAGCUCUGGGAAACUGGAAUUAAUACCGCAUACGCCCUACGGGGGAAAGAUUUAUCGGGGAUGGAUGAGCCCGCGUUGGAUUAGCUAGUUGGUGGGGUAAAGGCCUACCAAGGCGACGAUCCAUAGCUGGUCUGAGAGGAUGAUCAGCCACAUUGGGACUGAGACACGGCCCAAACUCC
rnacentral:rRNA from 1 species